GCAUUUCAGUAUUGGAGGCAUUGCCUGCCCAGUGACAACUGUUUAACGGCCGCGGUAUCCUGACCGUGCAAAGGUAGCAUAAUCAUUUGUUCUCUAAAUAAGGACUUGUAUGAAUGGCCGCACGAGGGUUUUACUGUCUCUUACUUCCAAUCAGUGAAAUUGACCUUCCCGUGAAGAGGCGGGAAUGCACAAAUAAGACGAGAAGACCCUAUGGAGCUUUAACUAACCAACCCAAAGAGAAUAGAUUUAACCAUUAAGGAAUAACAACAAUCUCCAUGAGUUGGUAGUUUCGGUUGGGGUGACCUCGGAGAAUAAAAAAUCCUCCGAGCGAUUUUAAAGACUAGACCCACAAGUCAAAUCACUCUAUCGCUCAUUGAUCCAAAAACUUGAUCAACGGAACAAGUUACCCUAGGGAUAACAGCGCAAUCCUAUUCAAGAGUCCAUAUCGACAAUAGGGUUUACGACCUCGAUGUUGGAUCAGGACAUCCUGAUGGUGCAACCGCUAUCAAAGGUUCGUUUGUUCAACGAUUAAAGUCCUACGUGAUCUGAGUUCAGACCGGA
rnacentral:rRNA from 1 species